rnacentral:rRNA from 1 species
UACGUAGGGUGCAAGCGUUGUCCGGAAUUAUUGGGCGUAAAGAGCUCGUAGGCGGUUUGUCGCGUCGGCUGUGAAAACCUGGGGCUCAACCCCGGGCCUGCAGUCGAUACGAGCAAACUAGAGUGUUGCAGGGGAGACUGGAAUUCCUGGUGUAGCGGUGAAAUGCGCAGAUAUCAGGAGGAACACCGGUGGCGAAGGCGGGUCUCUGGGGCAACAACUGACGCUGAGGAGCGAAAGCGUGGGGAGCGAACAGG